UACAGAGGUGGCAAGCGUUGUUCGGAAUUACUGGGCGUAAAGGGCGCGUAGGCGGCCUUCUAAGUCAGACGUGAAAUCCCCCGGCUUAACCUGGGAACUGCGUCUGAUAUUGGAUGGCUUGAGUAUGGGAGAGGGAUGUAGAAUUCCAGGUGUAGCGGUGAAAUGCGUAGAUAUCUGGAGGAAUACCGGUGGCGAAGGCGGCAUCCUGGACCAUUACUGACGCUGAGGCGCGAAAGCUAGGGGAGCAAACGGG
rnacentral:rRNA from 1 species